GGCUUAGAGUUUGAUCAUGGCUCAGGAUGAACGCUGGCGGCGUGCCUAACACAUGCAAGUCGAACGAAGCGGUUUUGGUGAAGUUUUCGGAUGGAACCGGAACUGACUGAGAGGCGGACGGGUGAGUAACGCGUGGGUAACCUGCCUCAUACAGGGGGAUAACAGUUAGAAAUGACUGCUAAUACCGCAUAAGCGCACGGGACCGCAUGGUUUUGUGUGAAAAGCCGAGACGGUAUGAGAUGGACCCGCGUCUGAUUAGCUGGUUGGUGGGGUAACUGCCCACCAAGGCGACGAUCAGUAGCCGACCUGAGAGGGUGACCGGCCACAUUGGGACUGAGACACGGCCCAAACUCCUACGGGAGGCAGCAGUGGGGGAUAUUGCACAAUGGGGGAAACCCUGAUGCAGCGACGCCGCGUGAGUGAAGAAGUAUUUCGGUAUGUAAAGCUCUAUCAGCAGGGAAGAGAAUGACGGUACCUGAGUAAGAAGCCCCGGCUAACUACGUGCCAGCAGCCGCGGUAAUACGUAGGGGGCAAGCGUUAUCCGGAUUUACUGGGUGUAAAGGGAGCGUAGACGGCAAAGCAAGUCUGAAGUGAAAGCCCGGGGCUCAACCCCGGGACUGCUUUGGAAACUGUUCUGCUAGAGUGCUGGAGAGGUAAGCGGAAUUCCUAGUGUAGCGGUGAAAUGCGUAGAUAUUAGGAGGAACACCAGUGGCGAGGGCGGCUUACUGGACAGUAACUGACGUUGAGGCUCGAAAGCGUGGGAGCAAACAGGAUUAGAUACCCUGGUAGACCACGCGUAAACCAUGAAUACUAGUGUUGGUGGGCAAGGCCCAUCCGUGCCGUCGCAACGCAGUAAGUAUCCACCU
rnacentral:rRNA from 1 species